rnacentral:rRNA from 1 species
UGGGAAUUUUGGACAAUGGGCGAAAGCCUGAUCCAGCAAUGCCGCGUGUGUGAAGAAGGCCUUCGGGUUGUAAAGCACUUUUGUCCGGAAAGAAAUCCUUGGCUCUAAUACAGUCGGGGGAUGACGGUACCGGAAGAAUAAGCACCGGCUAACUACGUGCCAGCAGCCGCGGUAAUACGUAGGGUGCAAGCGUUAAUCGGAAUUACUGGGCGUAAAGCGUGCGCAGGCGGUUUGCUAAGACCGAUGUGAAAUCCCCGGGCUCAACCUGGGAACUGCAUUGGUGACUGGCAGGCUAGAGUAUGGCAGAGGGGGGUAGAAUUCCACGUGUAGCAGUGAAAUGCGUAGAGAUGUGGAGGAAUACCGAUGGCGAAGGCAGCCCCCUGGGCCAAUACUGACGCUCAUGCGCGAAAGCGUGGGGGGCAAACAGGAUUAGAUACCCUGGUAGUCCACGCCCUAAACGAUGUCAACUAGUUGUUGGGGAUUCAUUCCUUAGUAACGUAGCUAACGCGUGAAGUUGACCGCCUGGGGAGUACGGUCGCAAGAUUAAAACUCAAAUGAAUUGACGGGGUCAUAGCUGUUUCCU